rnacentral:rRNA from 1 species
UAGGGAAUUUUGCGCAAUGGGGGAAACCCUGACGCAGCAACACCGCGUGAAUGUUAAGCCCUUCGGGGUGUAAAGUUCUGUCAGUAGGGACGAAAUUUGACUGUACCUACAAAGGAAGCACCGGCUAACUCCGUGCCAGCAGCCGCGGUAAUACGGGGGGUGCAAGCGUUAUCCGGAUUUAUUGGGUUUAAAGGGAGCGUAGGCGGAUUAUUAAGUCAGUUGUGAAAGUUUGCGGCUCAACCGUAAAAUUGCAGUUGAUACUGGUAGUCUUGAGUGCAGUAGAGGUGAGCGGAAUUCGUGGUGUAGCGGUGAAAUGCGUAGAUAUUAGGAGGAACACCAGUGGCGAAGGCGGCCUGCUGGGCUUUUACUGACGCUGAGGCUCGAAAGCAUGGGGAGCAAACA